AGAUUGAACGCUGGCGGCGUGCUUAACACAUGCAAGUCGAACGUGAAAGUCCUUCGGGGCGAGUAAAGUGGCGCACGGGUGAGUAACGCGUGGAUAAUCUACCCUUAAGAUGGGGAUAACGGCUGGAAACGGUCGCUAAUACCGAAUACGCUCCCGAUUUUAUCAUUGGGGGGAAAGAUGGCCUCUGCUUGCAAGCUAUCGCUUAAGGAUGAGUCCGCGUCCCAUUAGCUAGUUGGCGGGGUAACGGCCCACCAAGGCAACGAUGGGUAGCCGGUCUGAGAGGAUGACCGGCCACACUGGAACUGGAACACGGUCCAGACUCCUACGGGAGGCAGCAGUGGGGAAUAUUGCGCAAUGGGCGAAAGCCUGACGCAGCGACGCCGCGUGAGGGAUGAAGGUUCUCGGAUCGUAAACCUCUGUCAGGGGGGAAGAAACCCCCUCGUGUGAAUAAUGCGAGGGCUUGACGGUACCCCCAAAGGAAGCACCGGCUAACUCCGUGCCAGCAGCCGCGGUAAUACGGAGGGUGCAAGCGUUAAUCGGAAUCACUGGGCGUAAAGCGCACGUAGGCGGCCUGGUAAGUCAGGGGUGAAAUCCCACAGCCCAACUGUGGAACUGCCUUUGAUACUGCCAGGCUUGAGUACCGGAGAGGGUGGCGGAAUUCCAGGUGUAGGAGUGAAAUCCGUAGAUAUCUGGAGGAACACCGGUGGCGAAGGCGGCCACCUGGACGGUAACUGACGCUGAGGUGCGAAAGCGUGGGUAGCAAACAGGAUUAGAUACCCUGGUAGUCCACGCUGUAAACGAUGGGUGCUGGGUGCUGGGAUGUAUGUCUCGGUGCCGUAGCUAACGCGAUAAGCACCCCGCCUGGGGAGUACGGUCGCAAGGCUGAAACUCAAAGAAAU
rnacentral:rRNA from 1 species